UAACACGUGGGUAACCUGCCCAAGAGACUGGGAUAACACCUGGAAACAGAUGCUAAUACCGGAUAACAACACUAGACGCAUGUCUAGAGUUUAAAAGAUGGUUCUGCUAUCACUCUUGGAUGGACCUGCGGUGCAUUAGCUAGUUGGUAGGGUAACGGCUUACCAAGGCAAUGACGCAUAGCCGAGUUGAGGGACUGAUCGGCCACAUUGGGACUGAGACACGGCCCAAACUCCUACGGGAGGCAGCAG
rnacentral:rRNA from 1 species